rnacentral:lncRNA from 10 species
GAUUUGAUUUUGGGGCCCUUGGGGUUCAGCUAUAACCUGUCUCUUCUGAGAUGAUGUAAUUAUCCUCCCUCCAGGUGGAGGCAGUUCACCACCGUUCCUCUCGGAUAUAUGUGCAUUUGGAGAAGACCCUUAUUCCAUCACAAAGCACAGGAUGGGAGUAGAAUCCUGGCUCAUCUACUCUAAUGAGUGCUCACAGAACACCAAGCAAUGGCCCGAUUUUUCAUGUAGCAGAAGCACAGCUGCCUUCUCUCUAACCUACACCUCCUCCUCUAUUCCUGACCUUCUAGAAGAUUCUAUAAUCCACAAAUAAGGAUUGAAAUCUCUUCCUUUCUCACCUUUAUGUAUUUUAUGGCAAUUCAAAUAGAACUUUUACCAUAAUUUGGCACAACAGUGAUUCAAGCUAGAAACAUUAAAACUAAGAAUCAGACAUGGGAACUGUAAUUUUACUAUGAAAUAUAAUCAUUAUUCUUGAUUUCUGGAAGAUGAAUAUUAUCAAGUCUUUUUAGUUCACUUUGAGUUCUUGCUUGUCAAGAUUAACUUUAUUGUAAAUAUGUGCUUACUUUUGUGUGAAAUACAUUUGUCAUGUGAUUUGCUUCAUGUAUAUGCGACCAUAUGAUUUAAAUCAAAUUUUCUAAUGCAGUUUUUUC